AGCCCCGUCGUCUAGUGGCCAAGGAUAGGAGGCUUUGAACCUUCUGACAGCGGUUCGACUCCGCUCGGGGCUA
rnacentral:tRNA from 1 species